GGGUUCUAGGCCUGCAACCAAUUAUCUUUUAACCAAUUGGUCGUAGGUUCGAAUCCUACACGACCCACCA
rnacentral:tRNA from 14 species